rnacentral:lncRNA from 1 species
GAACUCUGCCUUCGAGCUCUUGGUUUCGGUCUUUAUUUCAUUCCCUAUGUCACUCUCCAUUUGACAUGGGAUGGACAAAGAUCAAAGUCAUACAUGGGUAAGACCUUGAGUCCUUUGCAGUCUGGAGAAAGGUUUAACCUGUGAUCCGAGGAACAGAAACAAGAAGUGGAGACAAAGGGCGGUUUCAUGAAGCUUAGCAAGAGGUGUUAAAUUUAUAAGGAAAUUUGCCUCAACACCCCAAAUCAGAUGUUAAUGUGAAGAUUUAAGAACUGAUGGAAUGAUCUGGAAUUUGAUCCAAAGUGAUGAAUUUAUUAGAUGUGAGAGUUGGAGUGACUGAGAUGUAAAUAACCCAAGUCAGGACAAUUAGAGUCUUCUUCUGGGAUGUUUUGGAAGAAAAAAAUGGAAGAAUGGAAAUGGAAGAAAGAAGCUCUUUUCUCCAAAGAAGGGGAAUCGCAAACUGAUAUCCUGGUGAAAUUCAACCUCCUGCCUGUUCUGUUUUUUGAAAUAAUUAUAGACUCACAAAGUGAAAAAUGCAGAAAGCUGUCCUCCUGUGUACAGUGGUAUCCACACUUUCCAAAUGAUGCUUAUGGCUCCCAAGAAAAACAUCAGGUGUUCAAAUGUUUCCAUCAACUCAACACUGACCUGUUUUUACUUUCAACCUUCCCUGAAAUGACCUCCAAUUUGGGAAAUUCUUGGCCAACAGAGAGGUACCCAACAAAAACACUGCUAUGAAGCAAAAAGAGAAGAUGGCCUUUGAGCCCCUGAAAUGCAACAUGGUCUUGAGAGAAAGAAACAAGCCCUGACAUGUUUUCUGAGGGUGACAUGGGUGUCUCUAAGGAGGUGGCCCCAGGGGGAAGGGCAAAAGAGGAAGAGAAAGAAAUUCUGGGGAAUCUGACAGAGGUAAUUCUAGUUCCUGAAAAGUUCUGUGUCGUGUUUGUCUCUCCUCUGAGAAUGUUAGCUCUGAGCCAACACAAGUGUUAUGUACUUGUCCUAAAUAAGUAGCAUCCCCCACUUUGUUUUUGUUAGCCAAGAUUUAUUUGAAGAAUAUUAAAAUACAUAGGUUGUAUAUAGAAAUACCAGGAAAGAUCUUUGCCAAAAUAGAAACAAUGGCUAUCUCUAGAGGGUGGAAUUUUAGGUGGUUUUUACCUUUAUAACUUUGUGUUGUUGCUGUUGUUUUUGGCCUUUAUAAUUUUCUGUAUUUGUGG